UGCUAUAAUGCAGUCGAGCGAACAGAAGGGAGCUUGCUCCCGGAUGUUAGCGGCGGACGGGUGAGUAACACGUGGGUAACCUGCCUGUAAGACUGGGAUAACUCCGGGAAACCGGAGCUAAUACCGGAUAGUUCCUUGAACCGCAUGGUUCAAGGAUGAAAGACGGUUUCGGCUGUCACUUACAGAUGGACCCGCGGCGCAUUAGCUAGUUGGUGGGGUAAUGGCUCACCAAGGCGACGAUGCGUAGCCGACCUGAGAGGGUGAUCGGCCACACUGGGACUGAGACACGGCCCAGACUCCUACGGGAGGCAGCAGUAGGGAAUCUUCCGCAAUGGACGAAAGUCUGACGGAGCAACGCCGCGUGAGUGAUGAAGGUUUUCGGAUCGUAAAGCUCUGUUGUUAGGGAAGAACAAGUGCGAGAGUAACUGCUCGCACCUUGACGGUACCUAACCAGAAAGCCACGGCUAACUACGUGCCAGCAGCCGCGGUAAUACGUAGGUGGCAAGCGUUGUCCGGAAUUAUUGGGCGUAAAGGGCUCGCAGGCGGUUUCUUAAGUCUGAUGUGAAAGCCCCCGGCUCAACCGGGGAGGGUCAUUGGAAACUGGGAAACUUGAGUGCAGAAGAGGAGAGUGGAAUUCCACGUGUAGCGGUGAAAUGCGUAGAGAUGUGGAGGAACACCAGUGGCGAAGGCGACUCUCUGGUCUGUAACUGACGCUGAGGAGC
rnacentral:rRNA from 1 species